GAUGAACGCUGGCGGCGUGCCUAAUACAUGCAAGUCGAGCGAACAGACGAGGAGCUUGCUCCUCUGAUGUUAGCGGCGGACGGGUGAGUAACACGUGGAUAACCUACCUAUAAGACUGGGAUAACUUCGGGAAACCGGAGCUAAUACCGGAUAACAUGUUGAACCGCAUGGUUCAACAGUGAAAGACGGUCUUGCUGUCACUUAUAGAUGGAUCCGCGCCGCAUUAGCUAGUUGGUAAGGUAACGGCUUACCAAGGCAACGAUGCGUAGCCGACCUGAGAGGUGGAUCGGCCACACUGGAACUGAGACACGGUCCAGACUCCUACGGGAGGCAGCAGUAGGGAAUCUUCCGCAAUGGGCGAAAGCCUGACGGAGCAACGCCGCGUGAGUGAAGAAGGUCUUCGGAUCGUAAAACUCUGUUAUUAGGGAAGAACAAAUGUGUAAGUAACUAUGCACGUCUUGACGGUACCUAAUCAGAAAGCCACGGCUAACUACGUG
rnacentral:rRNA from 1 species